UGCCAGCCGCGCGGUAAUACGGAGGGUGCAAGCGUUAAUCGGAAUUACUGGGCGUAAAGCGCACGCAGGCGGUUUGUUAAGUCAGAUGUGAAAUCCCCGGGCUCAACCUGGGAACUGCAUCUGAUACUGGCAAGCUUGAGUCUCGUAGAGGGGGGUAGAAUUCCAGGUGUAGCGGUGAAAUGCGUAGAGAUCUGGAGGAAUACCGGUGGCGAAGGCGGCCCCCUGGACGAAGACUGACGCUCAGGUGCGAAAGCGUGGGGAGCAAACAGG
rnacentral:rRNA from 1 species